rnacentral:rRNA from 1 species
AUGUGGUUUAAUUCGAUGCAACGCGAAGAACCUUACCUGGUCUUGACAUCCACAGAACUUUCCAGAGAUGGAUUGGUGCCUUCGGGAACUGUGAGACAGGUGCUGCAUGGCUGUCGUCAGCUCGUGUUGUGAAAUGUUGGGUUAAGUCCCGCAACGAGCGCAACCCUUAUCCUUUGUUGCCAGCGGUUNGGCCGGGAACUCAAAGGAGACUGCCAGUGAUAAACUGGAGGAAGGUGGGGAUGACGUCAAGUCAUCAUGGCCCUUACGACCAGGGCUACACACGUGUUCCAAUGGCAUAUACAAAGAGAAGCGACCUCGCGAGAGCAAGCGGACUUCAUAAAGUAUGUUGUAGUCCGGAUUGGAGUUUGCAAUUGGACUCCAUGAAGUGGGAAUCGUUAGUAAUCGUAGAUCAGAAUGCUACGGUGAAUACGUUCCCGGCCCUUGUACACACCGCCCGUCACACCAUGGGAGUGGGUCCAAAAGAAGUAGGUAGCUUAACC